rfam:Nautilia profundicola AmH, complete genome.
GGGGAUGACUUGGAUUUCGACAGGGGUAGAAAGCCCUAAGCUGCACGCACGCCUGGGCAAGCGUUAAAACGGCCCAAAAAAAAUAAACGCAGCAAAUAAUACAAAUUACAGCCCAGCAGUAGCUAGAGCUGCUGCUUAAUUAAGUAGUUUCGGGCGCCUCUCUCCACUAAGGCUUUCCGCCGCCUUGGAGAGAGAGUAAAGUGCGGAUAGGAGGUUCUCCUUCGGGUGUGGGAGAGCUUCCGAAACAAUAACACCCCUCAACUCCAUCAAGGCUUUGUCCGCUGAGCCUGGAGUUGCAGUAUAAUCAACGGACUAAGCGUGUAGACGCUUAGGGUACUCUACUUCUGGACUCGGGUUCGAUUCCCGACAUCUCCACCA